rnacentral:rRNA from 1 species
AGAGUUUGAUCCUGGCUCAGGACGAACGCUGGCGGCGCGCCUAACACAUGCAAGUCGAACGAGUGAGAGAGAGCUUGCUUUCUCGAGCGAGUGGCGAACGGGUGAGUAACGCGUGAGGAACCUGCCUCAAAGAGGGGGACAACAGUUGGAAACGACUGCUAAUACCGCAUAAGCCCACGGGUCGGCAUCGACCAGAGGGAAAAGGAGCAAUCCGCUUUGAGAUGGCCUCGCGUCCGAUUAGCUAGUUGGUGAGGUAACGGCCCACCAAGGCAACGAUCGGUAGCCGGACUGAGAGGUUGAACGGCCACAUUGGGACUGAGACACGGCCCAGACUCCUACGGGAGGCAGCAGUGGGGAAUAUUGCACAAUGGGGGAAACCCUGAUGCAGCGACGCCGCGUGGAGGAAGAAGGUCUUCGGAUUGUAAACUCCUGUUGUUGAGGAAGAUAAUGACGGUACUCAACAAGGAAGUGACGGCUAACUACGUGCCAGCAGCCGCGGUAAAACGUAGGUCACAAGCGUUGUCCGGAAUUACUGGGUGUAAAGGGAGCGCAGGCGGGAAGACAAGUUGGAAGUGAAAUCUAUGGGCUCAACCCAUAAACUGCUUUCAAAACUGUUUUUCUUGAGUAGUGCAGAGGUAGGCGGAAUUCCCGGUGUAGCGGUGGAAUGCGUAGAUAUCGGGAGGAACACCAGUGGCGAAGGCGGCCUACUGGGCACCAACUGACGCUGAGGCUCGAAAGUGUGGGUAGCAAACAGGAUUAGAUACCCUGGUAGUCCACACCGUAAACGAUGAUUACUAGGUGUUGGAGGAUUGACCCCUUCAGUGCCGCAGUUAACACAAUAAGUAAUCCACCUGGGGAGUACGACCGCAAGGUUGAAACUCAAAGGAAUUGACGGGGGCCCGCACAAGCAGUGGAGUAUGUGGUUUAAUUCGACGCAACGCGAAGAACCUUACCAAGUCUUGACAUCCCUUGACGAACAUAGAAAUAUGUUUUCUCUUCGGAGCAAGGAGACAGGUGGUGCAUGGUUGUCGUCAGCUCGUGUCGUGAGAUGUUGGGUUAAGUCCCGCAACGAGCGCAACCCUUACUGUCAGUUACUACGCAAGAGGACUCUGGCAGGACUGCCGUUGACAAAACGGAGGAAGGUGGGGAUGACGUCAAAUCAUCAUGCCCUUUAUGACUUGGGCUACACACGUACUACAAUGGCGUUAAACAAAGAGAAGCAAGACCGCGAGGUGGAGCAAAACUCAGAAACAACGUCCCAGUUCGGACUGCAGGCUGCAACUUGCCUGCACGAAGUCGGAAUUGCUAGUAAUCGUGGAUCAGCAUGCCACGGUGAAUACGUUCCCGGGCCUUGUACACACCGCCCGUCACACCAUGAGAGCCGGGGGGACCCGAAGUCGGUAGUC